GAAGAACGAGUGAGGCGUGCUUAACACAUGCAAGUCGAACGGAAAGGCCCUGCUUUUGUGGGGUGCUCGAGUGGCGAACGGGUGAGUAACACGUGAGUAACCUGCCCUUGACUUUGGGAUAACUUCAGGAAACUGGGGCUAAUACCGGAUAGGAGCUCCUGCUGCAUGGUGGGGGUUGGAAAGUUUCGGCGGUUGGGGAUGGACUCGCGGCUUAUCAGCUUGUUGGUGGGGUAGUGGCUUACCAAGGCUUUGACGGGUAGCCGGCCUGAGAGGGUGACCGGCCACAUUGGGACUGAGAUACGGCCCAGACUCCUACGGGAGGCAGCAGUGGGGAAUAUUGCACAAUGGGCGGAAGCCUGAUGCAGCAACGCCGCGUGCGGGAUGACGGCCUUCGGGUUGUAAACCGCUUUCGCCUGUGACGAAGCGUGAGUGACGGUAAUGGGUAAAGAAGCACCGGCUAACUACGUG
rnacentral:rRNA from 1 species